rnacentral:rRNA from 1 species
GACGAACGCUGGCGGCGUGCUUAACACAUGCAAGUCGAACGGAAAGGCCCUGCUUUUGUGGGGUGCUCGAGUGGCGAACGGGUGAGUAACACGUGAGUAACCUGCCCUUGACUUUGGGAUAACUUCAGGAAACUGGGGCUAAUACCGGAUAGGAGCUCCUGCUGCAUGGUGGGGGUUGGAAAGUUUCGGCGGUUGGGGAUGGACUCGCGGCUUAUCAGCUUGUUGGUGGGGUAGUGGCUUACCAAGGCUUUGACGGGUAGCCGGCCUGAGAGGGUGACCGGCCAAAUUGGGACUGAGAUACGGCCCAGACGCCUACGGGAGGCAGCAGUGGGGAAUAUUGCACAAUGGGCGGAAGCCUGAUGCAGCAACGCCGCGUGCGGGAUGACGGCCUUCGGGUUGUAAACCGCUUUCGCCUGUGACGAAGCGUGAGUGACGGUAAUGGGUAAAGAAGCACCGGCUAACUACGUG